rnacentral:rRNA from 1 species
GACGAACGCUGGCGGCGUGCUUAACACAUGCAAGUCGAACGGAAAGGCCUUUUCGGAGGUACUCGAGUGGCGAACGGGUGAGUAACACGUGGGUGAUCUGCCCUGCACUCUGGGAUAAGCCUGGGAAACUGGGUCUAAUACCGGAUAGGACCGCACUUUAGUGUGUGUGGUGGAAAGUUUUUUCGGUGUAGGAUGAGCCCGCGGCCUACCAGCUUGUUGGUGGGGUAAUGGCCUACCAAGGCGGCGACGGGUAGCCGGACUGAGAGGUUGGUCGGCCACAUUGGGACUGAGAUACGGCCCAGACUCCUACGGGAGGCAGCAGUGGGGAAUAUUGCACAAUGGGCGCAAGCCUGAUGCAGCGACGCCGCGUGGGGGAUGACGGCCUUCGGGUUGUAAACUCCUUUCGCCAGGGACGAAGCGUUUUGUGACGGUACCUGGAGAAGAAGCACCGGCUAACUACGUG